rnacentral:rRNA from 1 species
UACGUAGGGCGCAAGCGUUGUCCGGAAUUAUUGGGCGUAAAGAGCUCGUAGGCGGUCUGUCGCGUCUGGUGUGAAAACUCGAGGCUCAACCUCGAGCUUGCAUCGGGUACGGGCAGACUAGAGUGCGGUAGGGGAGACUGGAAUUCCUGGUGUAGCGGUGGAAUGCGCAGAUAUCAGGAGGAACACCGAUGGCGAAGGCAGGUCUCUGGGCCGCAACUGACGCUGAGGAGCGAAAGCAUGGGGAGCGAACAGGA